AUGAGGGCCUAGGACAUGACCUACCCUACCGGAGACUUUAUAAACACUGUACACUUAGGCUGCAAUAAGUUUAUUAAAAAUAUUUUCUUUCUUUUGCAAUAAAUUAACCUUACCUUACUGUACCUUUUUAACUCUAUAAACCUUUUUUUUUUUUUCUGGUACCAGACCAUUCCAGGCAGGGAGAGCCACUGAGCUCACUCCAUGGGCUGCCCACAUGGGGUCUGGACCCACCUGCCCUCUUUUGCCUGGCAGGCAGCCUCUGGGCCAUCACAGGACACAUUGUGUGGUGAUCAGUGGCCCACCGCCUGCCCUUGUGGUGGGUGCAGUUCACAGGUUCUGCCCCAGGCCUGGCACCGUGGCCUUCCCAGCCUGGCCCAGGAUAGGGGACAUGAAUGAUCCUUGCCUGUGCUUCUUUGGACCAUGUGAGUUUGGACACUCACUGCAGAAGUCCCUCCAGGUCCCUUUUCAACUGAGUUGUGGGGGACUUGCUUAGUCCUCAUGCCCAGGGUCAGGGGAGGGGUGCAGAGUCUGCACCCCAAAUCCCCUAGGGCCUGAGGGAGGUAUCCCAGGUGACCUCUGUCCUCUCCAGUGACAUGAGUCCUCCCAGAUGGCCUCAGCCCUCUCAAGUGACAUGCUUCCAUGGUGACUCUGGCUCUUGCAGGAGGUGGGCUACUACAGGGACAUGAGCUGCCUAACUGCCAUCCUCCUCCUGUAUCUGCCAGAGGAAGACACCUUCUGGGCACUGGAUCAGCUGAUGGCUGAGGAGAGGCACUCCCUGCAGGGUAGGCGGACAGCUACCCCCAGGGCCUCACACAGCCAGGCCAUGGGACGGCCACCCUGCCUGGGCGAUCCUGACUUCCCGGCAAGGCACCUUCCUUGCUUUCCAGCUUGUUAGGAGCCUUCAGGACAUCCCUGCUGAGGGUCCCACAGGAGCCUAGAGCUGAACAGGGACCCUUUCACUUCAAGGCAGACACCUUUCAUCCCCAACAGCAGAGGGCGCUGCAGCCUCCCCCUGGCCACCCUGUGUGUCCCAGAGCCACAGCCCUCUAGCUCUGAGUUCAUGCAGGUGACCGUCACUUCCUCAAGAGUCCUGCUACCUCCCAGCUGGCCACACUCCCAGCUGCCCUCCCAGCCCACAGAUGGGCCAAUGAAGUCGAGAUGGCAGUGUCUGCCCAUCCCAUGUCCCCCAGCCUGACCCCAUGUCCAGGAGAGGCCAUGUAGCCCCUUGGCACCCACCCUGUUCCCUCCACUGGCCACUGCCUGCCGCAGCCCUGCCUCACAGCCUCAAAGGCAGGCCUGCCCUCCGGGCACCUCUACCCAGGAUGCUGCUGUGCAGUUCCUCUGGCUAGGGCCCACCUCCCUAGAGCUGAGGCCACAUGGUAGGGUCACCUAAUGGAAGGGAGGAAGGCCUCAGGGUCCGGGGUCCCCUGCCACUGCCCAGCUCUUCCAGCUGACAGCUCCACAUCUUGGGAGUGGGCUCUGAUGCAUGAUGGGUCAGGGGCUUCUCAGUUUUCUACAGCCCAAAUACUGCCCAGCUCCGGAGGCUCCUAUCCCACCAGGAGCAGGUAUAACACAAAUUUUUCCCAAAGAUCAUGUGGUACCUGCUGAGUGGACGACACCCUCAACUCUUUCCCAGAGGCCCAGGGUCCCAUGGGGCAGGGAAACAGGGAAAGAUGGAGCUCCUCGAGGGGCUGACAAGAGGCUGAGUCCCAGCCAGGGCCUCGCCCAAGAUGGGGAUUCUCCAUGGGUUUGGAGUUGGGUUUUCUUAUCCUGCCCUGGAGGAAGAGGCAGAGGUACUAGGAUGGGGGCUGAGCUCCAGCUGAGCAGGGUUAAGGGAAGUGUGUCCACCAGGCAUCUGUGCAUGGGGGAGUUGUUGGGGAAGCACUGGCCACUGCCCAGUGUUCUGCCCCAGGGCAGCUCACGGGGCCCUGAGCACCUAUGGUCCAGGAUUGAGGUUUGUUGAGUUGGCUCCUCUGGUGUUUCGUUGAUGGGGUAAGGAGGCAAAUGGAGAUUCCAGGCCAGGGACCUUCAUGUCCCACAGUGCCCAGCUCCCCCAGGAGGACCUGGAUCACCCCAAGCCCACAUGAAGCACAGGGAAGUUUCUGCAUGGCACAGAAGCCAGGCCCUCCCCAAAAGGGGGCAUCACAUGGCAGGGGCCAGGACUCAGGCCCACUGCUAUUUUCACAUUAUUAAUUUUAUAAUGUGAUAUGGUUUGGCUGUGUUGCCACCCAAAUCUCAUCUUGAACUGUAAUUUCCAUAAUCCUCAUGUGUCCUGGGAGGGACCCAGUGAGAGGUAACUGAAUCAUGGCAGCAGUUUCCCCCAUGCUGUUCUCAUGAUAGUGAGUUCUCAUGUGAUUUGAUGGUUUCAUAAGCAUCUAGCAUUUCCCUUGCUUGAGGUGAUGAAUGCCUCAUUUACCCUGAUGUGAUUAUCACACAUUGCAUGCCUGUGUCAAACUAUCUCAUGUACCCCAUAAAUAUAUACAGCUACUAUGUACUCAUAGAAAUUAAAAAUAAAAAUAAAUUUAAAAU
rnacentral:lncRNA from 1 species